AGAGUUUGAUCCUGGCUCAGAUUGAACGCUGGCGGCAUGCUUUACACAUGCAAGUCGAACGGCAGCACGGGUGCUUGCACCUGGUGGCGAGUGGCGAACGGGUGAGUAAUAUAUCGGAACGUACCCGGCAAUGGGGGAUAGCUCGGCGAAAGCCGGAUUAAUACCGCAUAUGCCCUGAGGGGGAAAGUGGGGGACCGUAAGGCCUCACGUUGUCGGAGCGGCCGAUAUCAGAUUAGCUAGUUGGUGGGGUAAAGGCCUACCAAGGCGACGAUCUGUAGCGGGUCUGAGAGGAUGAUCCGCCACACUGGGACUGAGACACGGCCCAGACUCCUACGGGAGGCAGCAGUGGGGAAUUUUGGACAAUGGGGGAAACCCUGAUCCAGCCAUGCCGCGUGAGUGAAGAAGGCCUUCGGGUUGUAAAGCUCUUUCGGACGGAAAGAAAUCCUAUUCACUAAUACUGAGUGGGGAUGACGGUACCGUAAGAAGAAGCACCGGCUAACUACGUGCCAGCCGCCGCGGU
rnacentral:rRNA from 1 species